rnacentral:rRNA from 1 species
AUACGAAGGGGGCUAGCGUUGUUCGGAAUUACUGGGCGUAAAGCGCGCGUAGGCGGAUUGGUCAGUUAGGGGGGAAAUCCCAGGGCUUAACCCUGGAACUGCAUCUAAUACUGCCAGUCUUGAGUUCGGGAGAGGUGAGUGGAAUUCCUAGUGUAGAGGUGAAAUUCGUAGAUAUUAGGAAGAACACCAGUGGCGAAGGCGGCUCACUGGCCCGAUGCUGACGCUGAGGCGCGAAAGCGUGGGGAGCAAACAGGAUUAGAUACCCUAGUAGUCC